rnacentral:tRNA from 1 species
ACCUUUGUGGUGUAAUGGUAGCCCAAUCGGCGCGUAUUCGAGAAAUCCAGGUUCGAGUCCCGGCAAGGGCA